rnacentral:misc_RNA from 1 species
GGAAGGAUCAUUAACACGUAUCCACGUAUCCACCCAAAGCGAAUUCAUUUCAUUCUCCCUCUAUAGCAGUGAAGGAAUCGAGUCGACAGCAAAGUACGAGUGGGAUCCGCAAGGGUCUAUUCGCUGUUCACCAACUGAGGUUUCGGCCUCGACGAUUGUAUUACUGUGGAGGCUAAUUUCUUUACUACUCGGUUUCCAACUCUGCCGUGGUAGUAAGGAUAACUCUAUUAACCUAUCUCACCCCUUUUUGCUAGUUGACUUUUAUAUGUUGUUACUUGCGCUUGUCGCAUGGAGCACACGUUUAAUUAUUUGAACGUUAAAAAUACAACUCUUAGCAAUGGAUAUCUUGGUUCUCGCAACGAUGAAGAACGCAGCGAAAUGCGAUACGUAAUGCGAAUUGCAGAAUUCAGUGAAUCAUCAAAUCUUUGAACGCAAAUUGCGCUCUUGGGUAGCCCUAGGAGCACGCCUCUCUCAGUAUCGGUUCAACCCUCUCUCAGCAGCGUUGCGCAAUAGUCAUCUUCGGAUGUCUCUUGUGUGGCGUGUUGGCUGGAUAAUGAGAGUCUGAGUGCUUGUCACGCAGUCUCUUGAAAUACAUCGAGUGAAACAUAUGACUUCCGAUCAGCUCGCCCUUCCUUCGGGAGCGGCGAUAGUCUCGCCAGACUGUUGCUCGAGAGUAACGUGAAUAUUGGCCUUCAUUGGUCUUCCUUUUUACGUAUAUCUCUCGUGUGAUACUCAAGUUUGGCAAGGUGAACGAGCGUGUGAGUGUAAUGUUUACGUUGGCAAACCAUAUGAUUGUUGCUGAGAAAUUUAUUUCUCAACGGUGAUCUGAAUUUUGAUCUGAGAUGAAGCGAGACAACCCCCUGAAUUUAAGCAUAUUAAUAAGGGGAGGAAAAGAAACUAACAAGGAUUCCCCCAGUAACGGCGAGUGAAGCGGGAAGAGCUCAAUUUGAAAAUCGAUUACCUAAACGGGUCAUCGAGUUGUAGCCUAGAGACGUACUAUCAGCUGAAACCUGGGUAUAAGUUCUUUGGAAUGAGGCAUCAUAGAGGGUGAGAAUCCCGUUUAUGACACAAAGCUUUCAGCGUACGAUGUAUGUUCAUCGAGUCGAGUUGUUUGGGAUUGCAGCUCUAAAUGGGUGGUAAGUUUCAUCUAAAGCUAAAUAAUGGCGAGAGACCGAUAGCGAACAAGUACCGUGAGGGAAAGAUGAAAAGAACUUUGAAAGAGAGUUAAAAGUACUUGAAAUUGCUAAGAGGGAAGCGCUGGAAACCAGUGAUAUGUCGCGUCAAUCGCUCGGGGCCCCACUAGUUCGUGCGAGUCGUUGGAAACUCGCCUUGCGCGAACGAAAGGGCGGUUCCGGGUUUAUGAUGCGAUGUGAGUCAAGAUCCAUUCGGACGGUGGGAGAAGGUAGCGAGAAAGGUAGGAGAGCAAUCUCUGUUAUAUUCUUGUUACUCUACCUCGGUCUGGAUGGAGGAAGUAAUGGUGCGCCGCUUGCGGCUUGGUCCGGCGUCUCUAUGGUCCUAUCUGUCUGUAUAGCAAUGCUAUCCUGGUGGAAACCGGCCAUACUGGGCGUCGUGAUUCUAUGUGCCAUCACGAUCUUGUACGAAAUGGUUUUCAUCGACCCGUCUUGAAACACGGACCAAGGAGUCUAACAUCUAUGCAAGUAUUUGGGUGCAAAACCCUGAUGCGUAAUGAAAGUAAAGGUAGACUUGUUCUACUGAGGUAGGAAUCCCGCAAGGGAGGCACUAUCGACCGAUCAUCACUUGUGAAAGAUUUGAGUAAGAGCAUAUCUGUUGGGACCCGAAAGAUGGUGAUCUAUGCCUGAACAGGGUGAAGCCAGGGGAAACUCUGGUGGAGGCUCGUAGCGAUACUGACGUGCAAAUCGUUCGUCUGAUUUGGGUAUAGGGGCGAAAGACUAAUCGAACCAUCUAGUAGCUGGUUCCCUC